rnacentral:rRNA from 1 species
UUAGGAAUUUUGGGCAAUGGGCGCAAGCCUGACCCAGCAACGCCGCGUGGGCGACGAAGCCCUUCGGGGUGUAAAGCCCUUUUCCGCGGGACGAACCAGACGGUACUGCGGGAAGAAGCCCCGGCUAACUACGUGCCAGCAGCCGCGGUAAUACGUAGGGGGCGAGCGUUGUCCGGAUUUAUUGGGCGUAAAGCGCGCGCAGGCGGCUUGGAGAGCCCGGCGUGAAAGCCCCCAGCUUAACUGGGGGAGGUCGUCGGGGACCUUCGGGCUGGAGGCCGGUAGGGGCGAGUGGAAUUCCCGGUGUAGUGGUGGAAUGCGUAGAGAUCGGGAGGAACACCAGUGGCGAAGGCGGCUCGCUGGACCGGUCCUGACGCUCAGGCGCGAAAGCGUGGGGAGCGAUCCGGAUUAGAUACCCGGGUAGUCCACGCCGUAAACGAUGGGCACUAGGUGUCGGGGGUAUCGACCCCCCCGGUGCCGUCGCUAACGCAGUAAGUGCCCCGCCUGGGGACUACGGCCGCAAGGCUAA